rnacentral:tRNA from 1 species
GGCCUAUAGCUCGAGCGGUUAGAGCGCACGCCUGAUAAGCGUGAGAUAGGAAUUGGUUCGAGUCCACUUAGGCCCU